UGACUAUCGAUGGUGGUUCAUGACGCCAUGCAUGGUGUUGCAUUGGAAUGUUCUUAUAACUUAAAAAAUAUGAUGCUCAGUUUAAAGUGUGGUCGUGUCAAAUAAAUAAGAAUCGCGGCUACCAUCGCAUCUUGUGGAUUUCUCGUUUUGCGCCUAACAGCUCUAUUUCUUAUGUUUUGUGUCAAAACAAACUAAUUCAGGCCUAAGAACCAUAAAUUCUGCAUGUUUGGAAAUUCAGAAGAGCGGCACAAGGGCAAUGGAAGAAAUGUGCAGAGUUUGCAAGGGAUCGUCUGAAUCAUUCACAAACAUAUUCGACGAGCCACAAAACUGGGACACUUGCAUUGCUGACAUGAUAGCUCAGUGCACCGGGUACGAGGUUAGCCGAGGAGAUUUACUAUCAGA